UAAAAAUAUUUUUUUAUACCUAUAUAUUUUCUUAGAUGAUUACAUAAAAUAAUUAAGUAACAUAAACUAAUAUAUGUUUAAUUUUCUAAAAAUAUUUUAUAAUUAGUAAUAUUGAAAUGUUUUAUUUAUUUUUCAUAAAUUUAGUUGACAAUAAUAUCUUUCAAUUACAGCAAAAAAAUAUCGAUAAAUUAUAUUUUACUUAUAUAAUAUUAUUUUAAAUACAAUCACAAUUUUUUACUGCUUAGUUUUAAGAGUUUCAUAAAUUUAGUUGACUAUAAUAUCUUUCAAUUACAGCAAAAAAUAUCGAUAAAUUAUAUUUUACUUAUAUAAUAUUAGUUUAAAUACAAUCACAAAUUUUGACUGCUUAUUUUUAAGAGAUAUUAAAAAAAAACUAAAAAGAAAAUUCUAAAAUAAACAUCGUUUGAUCAAAUAGUUACAAAAUAGUUUAAUGAGGUAGAUAUAUUAUAUUUUAUCAUUAUUAAAGUUAUUUUUUCUUAAUAUUAAAUAUGCUUUUAAAUUUUAUGUUUUUGUAUUUGUGGAACUUAAUAGAACCAUAAUCAAAAUACCAAAGCAAAUCUGAAUUCUCAUUUUUAAGAUUAUUCAAAUAAAUUUUAGUUUCCAUUCAAUAAAUCAAAGGCGUAAAGUUAUUUAUAAUUUUUAAAAUAUAUUGUAAAUAUUGAUAUGUGUACAUGAGCUUUCAAAAAUGUAUCACCUACUUACGCAUGUAACUUCAUAUUGAUCAUCCUUUAUUUUCUAAUAUUUUUAUAAAGAACAUCAACAUAUAAUUUGAUAAAUGUUAUGAAAAUACAUGCACAUUUGACUUAAUUAUAAUAAAAAAAUAAUUAUACUUCAUUUUUAAUUUGGAAGAAUAUAUGUAACUCAAUAUACUCACAACAUGAAUGAUUCUACUAAUCCAACUUAUAUCUAAAAUCAUAGAUUUAACUACAAUAAGAUUAUAUAAUUUUAUAAGAAUAGUAAUCUAUUUUAUAAAUAUAAAUCAUAGGACAACUCAAAAAAUAUUAAAAAUGAAAAUAAAAUAUUAACCAACUGUUACAAUUUAGUUCUUUUGUAAAAUUUAUAUAUAUAAAUGAGACUUCAGAAUACUAUCGUUUCGUUAUAUUAAUUUAUGUAAUUUGGAAUCAUACACUUUAGUUUUUUUUCAUUCUAAGCAUAAUAUAUCUUAAGUUAUACAUAUUCUUCAUAAAAUAUAUUUACAUAUCUAAGAUAACAACCAUCUAAAUGUAAAUAAGAAAUUAAUCAAAAUUUUAAUAUAUAGAAUAAAAAAUAUUAGAGUUGAAUUCAUAUAUGCAAUCUUAUUUACUCAAAUGAUAACUAAAUCGACUAAAAACCAACAAAAUCGAUUAGAUAUAACAUAUAUAAAAAUUAAAGUAAUAUAAUAUUAUUAAUAUAAAUGAUGCAAAUAAAUUAUAAAUUAAUUUAAUAUUAAAUGUAAGUAGCAAUCAAUUAUUAUAAUAUAUUUACUUUAGAAAUAUUUAUAUCCGUGAAUUAGUACGGAAAAAUCACCUAGUUGAAAGUAAUCAACUAUCUAUUAUUAUAAAGAAGAGGGUCUCUAUUCUCCUAGGCUGCUACCUCAGAAAAUACUCUCACCAGAGCGCGACAUCUGUCCAGUCUAUUACUAAACUCGGCGUUUCAUUAAAUCAAACUUUAUUUCUGGUACGUCAAUUUUUUCAGCAAGCUUUUCGUCUUCUUCUCAUCCUCAUUAACUAGAUUCUCCGUUGAAGUCUCAAGGGCUCUUCUAUCUCGAGUUGUGCUUCUCACACCGUCUAGGACUUCUCUCGAGCUCAGCCCCAAAACGAGAUUCAGCCUCGCUGCUUCUUCUCUCGCUGUAGCGACGUUGGUUGUCCCAAUUUUCUUCCUGACUUGGCUAACGAAAACGAGAACAGUAACAGAGGCUCAUUAGAUCGUGUUCUGGUAAGCGUCGCCGCUAUCGGUUCUGCAGUGUUCUUCCGCCACCUUGACCCCUUCUCUCACGAUGACUGGAGAUUCAUCUAAAGGUAAAGUAAUUAACUUUAUGAUUUUCUCACUUCUCAGUGAUCUGUUUGUUGAGUGGUUAACAAUUUUGAAGAUUUCUGUUGUCUAUGUCACCUCUGUUCGUGCCUAUGGAGGUAUGCGGUUUGAUCCUAACGGCAAAAUCUCUGUGGAAUAAGAACCCUUUGGUGCAUUUUACUCUGUUGUGCCUCAGGUACCUUAAAGUUUGAAUCUUUGAACUGAUUUUCUGGAGGAUAUUUGUUUGACUAAUAUGUAUGCUUUGUAUAAACUUAUUGAUGCAAAUGCAGGCUGAAUUUAAUGAGUUCGGUGGAAGCUCAAUGUUGGAUGCAACUCUUGCUUGAGACAAUGAACUGUCUUGGACGCUGUAGAAUGCUAUUGAAGCACUUUAGGAGACUAUGCUUCAGUUUGACAUCUUGGCUGCUUUGCAUCCAACUCCAGCUGUUUGUGGGCUUCCAGAAGAAGAAGCCAGACUUUUGAUUAAAGAAAUAGGUGAAAUAUUGGCUGUUUGUAUUAUUUUCUUAUUUGAUGAAUUUUGCGAGAAUUGCCAUUUUUCCCAUCUAUUGAUGUACUCUUGAGAAUUGAAUUGCCAAGAAGUAACAAGACUAUCAGUUUACAUAACU